UUCAAAAUGAUAGCUGGCAUCCAGAUUUCAGAAAAGAGAAUGAAUGUGCAUGUCCUACUUGCCAUGAUGUGUUGGUUGCCUACGCAGGAAAUGUGAUAAGAUUGCCGUGUUAUCUUCUACGUGCAAACAGCAAGAAUGCAUUUUGCGGAUUGUUGAUGCGUUCUUGUUCAUGCAGUGACUGAAAACACAUUGGCAGAAAAAAAAAGCGGAAGAAUGAAUCACGAAGACGGCAAUGAUCCUUGGUUUUCCCAAAGGCCGGAAAUGCCCCCUGGGGUGCAGCAGAGUACAAUCAACUCAUUUCUGCAGGGCCUUUGCUGCCACUACUGGAGCAGUACGCGGGCAUCGGUUCUUAUGACCAAACCACAGUCAGGGGGGCACCAUGGCAAGUUCAGUCACAGGGCGCUAACGCUGACAAAUGUAUGGGCAACCAACUUCAAGUAGCUCAUGUGGCAAAUCAAGGACCUUCAUGCAGCACGUGGCAUCAGGCGGCAACCAUGUACCUGCCAUCAACGUCGUACACAGGUUGUUACGGUGGAACCACAUCGGCAAAUGUCUCAUGGCAAGCUUCACAGUUGCAGGACAGCGCUAUUGCAGAUAUAGCACAUCAAAUUGGAAUGACAUACCAUAUAAGAUCGGCACAUGCGGCACAACAAGGUAAAAAAAUGUGAACCAGAAAACAGUACUGCAUUUGCUUUUGUGGGAAUAGCAUGUGAGGAAAAUUAGAUUUGUAGCGGUGGUGGUGGAAAAAACAAACAAAAAAUGCUACCAAGUGGUCGUGUGCAAAGAGUCAUCUAUUGUCUUCGGGAUUUGCCAGUUGCUAUAAGAGUGUGUGCGACAUUCAUGAUUGAUCGCAUUUGCCUAGUGAGCUCAAGCCUAGAAUACAAGUUUCGAUGCUGGAAUAUACUGGUUGCCAUGUAGUGGCAGCAGUAGUUGCCAUGUAUGUUGGACAGUAGCUGCCAUGGCUACAGAAUCCAAGUUUUGAUGCUAAAAGAAGCUGGUUGCC